GUGGGAGUAGCUCAGUUGGUAGAGUCCCAGGUUGUGGCCCUGGUUGCCGCGGGUUCGAGCCCCGUCUCUCACC
rnacentral:tRNA from 1 species